AGCGAACGCUGGCGGCAGGCCUAACACAUGCAAGUCGAGCGCCCGUAGCAAUACGGGAGCGGCAGACGGGAUAGUAACACGUGGGAACGUACCCUUCAGUUCGGAACAACCCAGGGAAACUUGGGCUAAUACCGAAUACGUCCGUAAGGAGAAAGAUUUAUCGCUGAAGGAUCGGCCCGCGUCUGAUUAGCUAGUUGGUGAGGUAAUGGCUCACCAAGGCGACGAUCAGUAGCGGUCUGAGAGGAUGAUCAGCAUCACUGGGACUGAGACACGGCCCAGACUCCUACGGGAGGCAGCAGUGGGGAAUAUUGGACAAUGGGCGCAAGCCUGAUCCAGCCAUGCCGCGUGGAUGAUGAAGGCCCUAGGGUUGUAAAGUCCUUUCGGGCGGGGGAAGAUAAUGACGGGUACCCCGCAGAAGAACGCCCCGGCCUAACUUCGUGCCA
rnacentral:rRNA from 1 species